CAAGAUGGUCGUGCAGUUUGCAUAUUUUUGGUUUUCUUUAAGCUAAAAGUAUGAGGAAAGUCUGGACUCCACAUAGACUCAGUGCUGGAUAACGUCCAGCAAGAAUAGAUAAAACUAUUCUUAGGGAAAGUGCAACAGAAAUUAUACCGCCAUAUUUUAUGGUAAGGGUGAAAUGGUGUGGUAAGAGCGCACCGGAUUUUUGGUGACAAAAAUCGCGUAUGUAAACCCCACUGGGAGCAAGAUCAAAUAGGUGACUAUGAAGAAUUUAUUCUUCAAUCUGUCUAUGGAUAAGUCACGGGUAGGUCGCUUGAGGUAAGUGGUAACACUUAUCCUAGAUAAAUAACUGCAACUAAGAACAUAUGAUGUUUUUAGUACAGAAUCCGGCUUAUAGACCAUCUUUGUUA
rnacentral:RNase_P_RNA from 1 species